rnacentral:ncRNA from 18 species
GAUAGCCCCCUGUCGCUACUGUGAUUGGACACUGACACAGAGUCAACUAGCCUUGUUCGCGCGGUUCUUCGUGCGCGGAACCGGGGACGGUCCGAGCCACGAGGGGGGAGGCUCGGACCGUCCGUC